GGGGCCGUAGCUCAACCGGGAGAGCGCCGCCUUUGCAAGGCGGAGGUCGGGGGUUCGAGUCCCCCCGGCUCCACCA
rnacentral:tRNA from 2 species